GACGUAGGGGGCAAGCGUUGUCCGGAUUUAUUGGGCGUAAAGAGCGUGUAGGCGGUUUGGUAGGUCCGCUGUGAAAACUCGAGGCUCAACCUCGAGACGCCGGUGGAAACCAUCAGACUAGAGUCCGGAAGAGGAGAGUGGAAUUCCUGGUGUAGCGGUGAAAUGCGCAGAUAUCAGGAGGAACACCGGUGGCGAAGGCGGGUCUCUGGGCCGGAACUGACGCUGAGGAGCGAAAGCGUGGGGAGCGAACAGG
rnacentral:rRNA from 1 species